AACACUACACAGGCUACACUGAAGAGACUGCAUCGAUCAUAAACUCAAGUACAACAAGAACCACAGCGCUACAAAGCAUGAGACCUCCAGAAAAAACCAAACUAUAAAACGUAAAGGAAGAAAACAUGGAGGACACGAGGGGGUGAGGAUGAUAACCACAGAGGGAGCUAAAUGUCAACAAAACGCUGAACUGUAAAGGAAAUAAUCUGGAGUCGAAUCCGUGGAUUAACUGUUUGAGUAAAGACUGUGUCAGGAGCCCCGCCUCUCUGUUUUUGUGGUUUCAGGAUCAUUUUUUGCAGCGUGCAGCUGUGAUGACUCGCAGGCUGUCAGCAGCUGUUUAAACGUGUUGGCGAGCUCUGACGAGUCACUCGGGCUUCGUCAUGAAGGUCGUGCUGCUGCUGGCGCUGCUCACAGUCUGUGAAUGUGACGGCAGCAGGGUCAAAGGUCACACAGGUCAGGACGUCACUCUGCCCUGUAAAUAUGACAGGAAAUAUCACGGCGCUCUGUCAGCGUGCUGGCAGCGAGGAGAAAUACCAACCAGAGGCUGCUCCAAUCAGCUGAUCUCCACAGAUGGACUCAGAGUGUUAACCAGAGCUUCCAGCAGGUAUGAGCUGCUGGGCCGACUGGAGGACGGAGACGUCUCUCUGACCAUCAUGAACCUCACAGAGGGAGACGCUGGACGAUACGGCUGCAGGGUGGAGAUACCCGGGCCGUUCAACGAUGAGAAGCAUCACUUUGACCUGAGCGUCGUCACAGCGCCACAAACUCCCACAUGGACGGCGCCAAACUCAGAGACGCCCACAGAGCCGACGGCAGCCUCUGAAGGUCACAUGACCUCUGCAGAAAGCCUCCUGACUUCGCCCUCCACCAUGACGAGCAGCAGCGAGGGCGAGGACGGCGGUCAGCUGAUGGUGGUGGUCGUCUGCGUCCUGCUGGGGCUGGUGUCUCUGCUCGCCAUCGUAGGACUCCUGGGUGAGUUUAGUCAAACUGUCCUCGCAGUGACAAGGUCAAGUUUGUCUAUACACAUUUCCAGACAGCUCGUGCUGCACAAAGUGCCCAACAAUGAUGCCAUUAAAACAGAAACAAUGUAAAACAAUAAAGGGACAAUAAGAGAAUAAAACAAAACCUAAGACUACUGAAUAAGACCAAAUGGUCAUAGUGUGUUAAAGAACAGAGUAUAAAAAUGUGUCUUUAGAAGUGAUUUAAAUAUUCAGGGGGAAACUACUCCAAAGUCUGGGACCUGCCAGAGAGAAGGCUCUAUCGCCAUGAGAUUUGAGUUUAGUCCGAGGGACGGACUAAUUCAUCCUGAGCUGGACCUCCUGCUUUUUCUGGAGCAUGAAAGGAGCUCAGACAGGUAUGAAGGGGCUAAAAGUUUGAUCCUGUAGGAAACUGGAAGCCAGAGCAGAGAAGCACAAAGUAACGGAGGACAAAGAGGAAGUUCCCCGUCCAUGAUCUGGUGUUUUUAGCUGAGCCAGACAGGAAACAUGGAGGUCAUGUGACGCAGCGCAGUUUAAUAAACAGGGACACGUCCUGGUCAGGUCCUCUCAGAUCAGCUGAUUGUUUUUAUUUUUGUACAAUAAUCGUUGGAUAUUUAAUGGAGCCUUGCAAAAGGACAAGAGGAUGAGGAGUGGACAGGUGUGGCACACCUGUGAAGGCGUGGAGAUGUCUCGGAGACAGGAGAGAGCGCUGAAACCAGACUGUUUAACACAAACAUGGAGCUCCAGUGAGAGGGAAGCUUAGAGACACCACAGCGCCCCCUGCAGGAGGCGAGACCGCUGAGAUGGUGCGGAGGCCGAGCUGAAGGUGUGAACGUUUCAACAGUUUGUUCCCGAGCUUCACCUCUGCAGACACGCCCGAGGAGCUCCGCCUUCUCCUGAGAACCAGAUGUUCGGGUCUGUGUCGCCGCAGAGCGAGCGCGUGGGCUGGAUCGCUCAUCAUUACUGAGAAUCGUGCGGUAGACCCCCGUGCUGACGUCAGCGCCCCCGCUCUGUAGCAGCAGCUCUGAUGGAAACGCUGAGCUGCAUUAGCAAACACGUCCGUGUGACGUGACUCAUCAUUUCUGCAGUGAAUCGUGUUAAAGUCCAGAUGACGGUGCGUGUCAGGGCCUCCUCUGGUCCUCCCACGGGCCGGAGCAUCUGCUGCAUGCAUGAAGCUAGCUGCAGUCUGCUGCUGUGCGUGCAUGUAAGACAGGAAACAACCUUAAAAUAAAGAAACUGAACGACGUUCUGCGCUCAUUCAGCUCUUCGUGAGCUGUGAUCUGGACCCAACAUGGCGUCGGCAGCGUUGACCUCGCCGCCCUCACAGAGCGACGGUGUCUGGAUGUUUCAGGCGAGGUCGCUGAUCAUCAGGAGCGCGUCUCAUGAGAAGACUGAAGCUCCUCCACACAGUGUGAGUGCACGAUCUUUAUCUUUGUGUUUCUGAGUAACUAACGUGUCUCCGCACCUCGACCAUCGCGGAUGCUGCUGAGAAGUCGUGACUCAUCAUCUCUCAGCCUUCAUCGCGUGUUCAGACUGAAACUGAGAGGUGAGACAACCACAGAGUUCAAACCAGCCAACGGCGGCUCGCUCGACCUUUAAGGCCCAUCAGAGUGGAAUCAUUUCGAGCUGACGCCCGUGUCAGAGCUCCAUGUUCAGCCACAGCAGCACCACACCCUCCACCCCUCUGCUACUAGAAACACCGUCCAUAAAAGCCCUGAACACAGUCCGCCAUUAUGGCGUCCAAACUCAAGAACAAGCGCGACACUACCAAAGCUCUGCCGUUUACAGCGACGGGUUGUCUCGAUCUUUGGUUUGUGAUUCAGCGACUGUGAGCCGAGUCCAUCAGAGCCGCCCCAGCAUGAGUGGGUGUGGGUGAUCCACAGCCUCAGUGUUUCCAGCUCCAUCACUGCUGCACUGGAGCCUCAGAGCACGGGGAGGAAGGUCCUUCAUCAUCAUCAUUAACACGACUGCUCGUUAAUGCUUCAUUUGAACUGCAGCAUAAUCAGCGUCACGAACAGGAAGUGACCUUUCACACUGCUUUGAGUCAAGUUUGAGGCUUUUACUUUGGAAAAUCUGAGUCAUGAUGAGGAUGGAAGCAGGAAACAGAUUCAAUCAGCAGCUUAGAGUUUUAGAUGUGUGGAUAAAAUUAAAUUUGGUUUAUAAUAAAAUGUGACAGAAGCAGCAAAUCAUUUUAUUUUGGAGCUUCUCUGCAGGAUGUUAUAAUCUCCUGCAGUCAGAGUAAUAUCAUUAAUGUUAUUAUAGCAAAAGGUCCUGACAGCUGACUAACACUCUCGCUCUCACG